rnacentral:rRNA from 1 species
GUGAAGCUGGAUUCGCUAGUAAUCGCGCAUCAGCCAUGGCGCGGUGAAUACGUUCCCGGGCCUUGUACACACCGCCCGUCAAGCCAUGGGAGCCGGGGGUGCUUGAAGUGCGCCGCCGCGAGGCGCGCCCUAGAGCAAAACCGGUGACUGGGGCUAAGUCGUAACAAGGUACC